rnacentral:rRNA from 1 species
UACGUAGGGUGCGAGCGUUGUCCGGAAUUAUUGGGCGUAAAGAGCUUGUAGGUGGCUCGUUGCGUCGGGAGUGAAAACCUGCGGCUUAACCGCAGGCCUGCUUCCGAUACGGGCGAGCUAGAGUUCGGCAGGGGAGACUGGAAUUCCUGGUGUAGCGGUGAAAUGUGUAGAGAUCGGGAGGAACACCGGUGGCGAAGGCGGGUCUCUGGGCAAUUCCUGACGCUGAGGCGCGAAAGCGUGGGGAGCAAACGGG